UCUGAGGCCAACUUAAUUCAAAUGAGGGCAGCGGCGGGUCACUCCUGUGAGGACCAGCAUUUUCAGCUUGGCUGCACCAUCGCAGAAGAAGUAUCAACAGAGAAGAGGAGGAGAAGAAGAAGAUAUGAAGGUGAAUUCCAGCAAAGCAUUAGGAUGAAUAUUAGUUGUUCCAU